CGCCCGUCAAACCACGAAAGUUGAUAAUACCCAACGCCGGUGGCCUAACCGUAAGGAGGGAGCCGUCUAAGGUAGGAUCAAUGAUUGGGGUUAAGUCGUAACAAGGUAUCCCUACGGGAACGUGGGGAUGGAUCACCUCCUUUCUAAGGAAAACAUGACUUAAGAAGUCGAGCACUUUCGAAAGAAAAACGCUAAACAUGUAUUAAACCACUCAUCAUAUUCAGUUUUGAAAGACUUAUUUGUCUUUUAAAUAAGGGCCUAUAGCUCAGCUGGUUAGAGCGCACGGCUGAUAACCGUGAGGUCGAUGGUUCGAGUCCAUUUAGGCCCACCAUUUAAGUGGCUCACUCAGGUAAGAGCAAACCCUUAAAUAGUAACAAUCAUACAUAUUGAUUGAGAUCUUUGAAAAGUAGAUAAAUUCUGUCGUAAGGUUAAGGAAGUAAGGGCACACAGUGAAUGCCUUGGCACUAAGCACCGAAGAAGGACGCAACUAACGGCGAAACGCCACGGGGAGCAGUAAGUAUGCGACGAUCCGUGGGAAUCCGAAUGGGGAAACCCGUCAUGUGGAAGACAUGACAUCCUGGUAAUAGGAGGGGGACGCAGGGAACUAAAAUAUCUAAGUACCUGCAGGAAAAGAAAGUAACAACGAUUCUACUAGUAGCGACGAGCGAACGUGGAGGAGCCAGCUUACAUAAUAGUUACAAAACCAUAAUAUAGACGAGCUGCAUGGGAAGGCAGACCAAAGAGGGUGAGAGUCCCGUAGUCGAAAUGUUGUGGACUAGGUAAGCAAGAAGUAGGGCGGGACACGAGAAAUCCCGUUUGAAGAUCGGAGGACCAUCUCCGAAGGCUAAAUAUGUCUUAGUGACCGAUAGUGAACCA
rnacentral:sRNA from 2 species